GUAAAGGCGCACCAAGGCGACGAUCCUUAGCUGGUCUGAGAGGAUGAUCAGCCACACUGGGACUGAGACACGGCCCAGACUCCUACGGGAGGCAGCAGUGGGGAAUAUUGGACAAUGGGCGAAAGCCUGAUCCAGCAAUGCCGCGUGAGUGAUGAAGGCCUUAGGGUUGUAAAGCUCUUUUACCCGGGAAGAUAAUGACUGUACCGGGAGAAUAAGCCCCGGCUAACUCCGUGCCAGCAGCCCGCGGUAAUACGGAGGGGGCUAGCGUUGUUCGGAAUUACUGGGCGUAAAGCGCACGUAGGCGGCUUUGUAAGUCAGAGGUGAAAGCCUGGAGCUCAACUCCAGAACUGCCUUUGAGACUGCAUCGCUUGAAUCCAGGAGAGGUGAGUGGAAUUCCGAGUGUAGAGGUGAAAUUCGUAGAUAUUCGGAAGAACACCAGUGGCGAAGGCGGCUCACUGGACUGGUAUUGACGCUGAGGUGCGAAAGCGUGGGGAGC
rnacentral:rRNA from 1 species